AGUUUAAGCUAAAAUGUCAGACUGCAAUUCUGGAGAUACAAUAGUGUUGGAGCUUUGGUAAG
rnacentral:tRNA from 1 species